rnacentral:rRNA from 1 species
AACGGCCGCGGUACCCUAACCGUGCGAAGGUAGCAUAAUCACUUGUUCUUUAAAUGAGGACUCGUAUCAACGGCACUACGAGGGCUAUACUGUCUCCUUUUUCUAAUCAGUGAAACUGAUCUCCCCGUGAAGAAGCGGGGAUCAAAAUAUAAGACGAGAAGACGCCAUGGAGCUUUAAACUCACCACGCACCUCUGUGCCCUCAACCCCUUAAACACAAGAGAUCUACGUGCUAGUUUUAGGUUGGGGGGACCACGGAGUAUAACUUAACCUCCCAUAACAAAUGGGCUAACACCCUUAUCCAUGAGACACAGCUCUAAGAAUUACUAAAGCUUANGACCCGAUAUUAGAUCAAUGAACCAAGUUACCCUGGGGAUAACAGCGCAAUC